GACGAACGCUGGCGGCGUGCUUAACACAUGCAAGUCGAACGGAAAGGCCCUUCGGGGUACGCGAGUGGCGAACGGGUGAGUAACACGUGGGUGAUCUGCCCUGCACUUUGGGAUAAGCCUGGGAAACUGGGUCUAAUACCGAAUAGGACCACGCGCUUCAUGGUGUGUGGUGGAAAGCUUUUGCGGUGUGGGAUGGGCCCGCGGCCUAUCAGCUUGUUGGUGGGGGAAUGGCCUACCAAGGCGACGACGGGUAGCCGGCCUGAGAGGGUGAACGGCCACACUGGGACUGAGAUACGGCCCAGACUCCUACGGGAGGCAGCAGUGGGGAAUAUUGCACAAUGGGCGCAAGCCUGAUGCAGCGACGCCGCGUGAGGGAUGACGGCCUUCGGGUUGUAAACCUCUUUCAAUAGGGACGAAGCGCAAGUGACGGUACCUAUAGAAGAAGCACCGGCCAACUACGUG
rnacentral:rRNA from 1 species